rnacentral:misc_RNA from 1 species
CAGAGUUUGAAAAACUCCCUAAACCCUUUGUUUAUAUACCUGUUCAGUUGCUUCGGCAGGGCGGCCCCAGGGCGGGGCCUCCCGGCCUGCUUCGGCCAGGCUGCCUGCCGCUGGCGUCACCAAACUCUUUGUUAUAUGUUACACUCUCCGAGUCUAAUAACAAAAUGAAUCA